rnacentral:rRNA from 1 species
CACGUAGACGGCUUUGUAAGUCGGAUGUGAAAUCCCCGGGCUUAACCUGGGAACUGCAUUCGAAACUGCAUGGCUAGAAUGUGGAAGAGGGAAGCGGAAUUCCAGGUGUAGCGGUGAAAUGCGUAGAUAUCUGGAGGAACAUCAGUGGCGAAGGCGGCUUCCUGGUCUGACAUUGACGUUCAGGUGCGAAAGCGUGGGGAGCAAACAGGAUUAGAUACCCUGGUAGUCCACGCCAUAAACGAUGAGAACUAGAUGUCGGGAGGGUCAGCCUCUCGGUGUCGCAGCUAACGCGUUAAGUUCUCCGCCUGGGGAGUACGGCCGCAAGGUUGAA